rnacentral:misc_RNA from 1 species
UCCGGCUUAUCACCGGCAGUCCCUCUAGAGUGCCCAACUCAAUGCUGGCAACUAAAGGCGAGGGUUGCGCUCGUUGCGGGACUUAACCCAACAUCUCACGACACGAGCUGACGACAGCCAUGCAGCACCUGUGUUCCCGCCAGCCGAACUGAAGGAUGCCGUCUCCAGCACCCAUACGGGACAUGUCAAGGGUUGGUAAGGUGGGGAUGACGUCUGGAAGCAAGCU